GUGUCUCACAUAACAAGGCGUAGGGAGCGCUGGCGUCCCAGCUCUUUAUGAUCCGAGGAAGACGCGUGAUAGCUUUCUGGCAGUAUAGACCGACAUAGCACGCCACGUGACAUCGCCUUUUGGGUCCUUCGAGUAGAUAAUCGACUUCAUAUUCUCCAUCGUCACGAUCAUCAUCGGAACAGUUUUAAUGGGAGCGGUGGCGCAGUGGCUAGCGCGCUGCGCUACGAAC